rnacentral:rRNA from 1 species
GGCACGCUUAACACAUGCAAGUCGAACGAAGUAGCAAUACUUAGUGGCAGACGGGUGAGUAUAAUGUGGGAAUCUGCCUUUUGGUUUAGAAUAACUCGGGGAAACUUGAGCUAAUACUAGAUAAGCCCUUACGGGGAAAGCUUUAUGCGCCAAAAGAUGAGCCCGCACUUGAUUAGCUUGUUGGUGAGGUAAAAGCUCACCAAGGCAACGAUCAAUAGCUGUUCUUAGAGGAAGACCAGCCACAUUGGGACUGAGACACGGCCCAGACUCCUACGGGAGGCAGCAGUGGGGAAUCUUGCACAAUGGGGGAAACCCUGAUGCAGCGAUGCCGCGUGAGUGAAGAAGGCCUUUGGGUUGUAAAACUCUUUCGUCGGGGAAGAAAAUGACUGUACCCGAAUAAGAAGGUCCGGCUAACUUCGUGCCAGCAGCCGCGGUAAUACGAAGGGACCUAGCGUAGUUCGGAAUUACUGGGCUUAAAGAGCUCGUAGGUGGUUAAAGAAGUUGGUGGUGAAAUCCCAAGGCUUAACCUUGGAACUGCCAUCAAAACUUUUUAGCUAGAGUAUGAUAGAGGAAAGUGGAAUUUCUAGUGUAGAGGUGAAAUUCGUAGAUAUUAGAAAGAACACCAAAAGCGAAGGCAACUUUCUGGAUCAUUACUGACACUGAGGAGCGAAAGCAUGGGUAGCGAAGAGGAUUAGAUACCCUCGUAGUCCAUGCUGUAAACGAUGUGUGCCAGACGUUGGAAAUUUAAUUUUCAGUGUCGCAGCAAAAGCAUUAAGCACACCGCCUGGGGAGUACG